AGAGCGAACGCUGGCGGCAGGCUUAACACAUGCAAGUCGAGCGCUCGUAGCAAUACGAGAGCGGCAGACGGGAGAGUAACACGUGGGAACGUACCCUUCGGUUCGGAACAACCCAGGGAAACUUGGGCUAAUACCGGAUACGUCCGUAAGGAGAAAGAUUUAUCGCCGAAGGAUCGGCCCGCGUCUGAUUAGCUAGUUGGUGAGGUAACGGCUCACCAAGGCGACGAUCAGUAGCUGGUCUGAGAGGAUGAUCAGCCUCACUGGGACUGAGACACGGCCCAGACUCCUACGGGAGGCAGCAGUGGGGAAUAUUGGACAAUGGGCGCAAGCCUGAUCCAGCCAUGCCGCGUGGGUGAUGAAGGCCCUAGGGUUGUAAAGCCCUUUCGGCGGGGAAGAUAAUGACGGUACCGCAGAAGAAGCCCGGCUAACUUCGUGCCAGCAGCCGC
rnacentral:rRNA from 1 species